GACAGAGGUGCCGAGCGUUAGGCGGAAUCACUGGGCUUAAAGCGUGUGUAGGCGGCCCGUUAAGUGUCUUGUGAAAUCCCCCGGCUCAACCGGGGAACUGCUGGGCAUACUGGCGGGCUUGGGUCGCUCAGGGGCAGACGGAACAGGCGGUGGAGCGGUGAAAUGCGUAGAUAUCGCCUGGAACGCCGAAGGUGAAAACAGUCUGCUGGGGGGCGCACCGACGCUGAGACACGAAAGCCAGGGGAGCGAACGGG
rnacentral:rRNA from 1 species